AUCUUACCGGGUCCGGACACACUGAGGAUUGACAGAUAUAUACCCCGUGAUUUUAACGCGGGGUUGAAAGAUGCUAGUUCUUUCAUGAUUAUGUGAUAGGUGGUGCAUGGCCGUUCUUAGUUCGUGGAGUGAUCUGUCUGCUUAAUUGCGUAUCAAUAAUAGAGACCUAGUAUACGCGUAGACUCAUGCGGUAGUGACCCCCCUUCACAGGGCGCGUGUCGCACGUAUGUUAUACGCACAGGUCUCCGAUAGCAACGAACGUGACCGUACUCUAUUGUUGCAGCGACAAUACCUUUCAACGGGUAUUACCGCUGCUUAGCAAGAUUCGUCUUGCAUUAAACUAUAGAGACCGCUGUUUCUUCUUUAAACCAGAGGAAGGAUACGGCAAUAACAGGUCUGUGAUGCC
rnacentral:rRNA from 1 species